CUCUUUCAACUAGCAUUAUUUACUCUGCCCAAGAAAAGCUGGUUUCAUAUGCGCUACACAAGCAGAUCAAGCACACUGCAUCACAUUACUUGCCAACUGAACAGACGUGCUUCAGAUAGGUUUUUUUUUUCUCUUGGUGGAGUCUGAAAAAGAACUGGAAGAAACACUGAGCCAAAAAAUUGUGCCGUUAUUACAUGAGUAACUCACUGCCAAGGCCUUCGCAGGAAGCACUGCAUACAGGGUGGGAGCAACUGAUGGGUAAAUCACCCUGGAGAACUUCGCAAAUAGCUAUCAUCUAUGCAGUACACGAAGCCUCUGAAACAUAACACCAACAAAUGGUUGCCCCCCCCUCAGCCCCCCAAUCCCUUCCAUGGGUGGAAUUGGAGCAGAUGUCACUAGUGCUAGGAGAGAGGAAUGCAAGCAGAUUUAAGUGGCAUGCA